AUGAACACAUCGCCAACUUAUGUCAAGACACAAGAAUUGCCAAAACCUCCUGAACAUUGCACUGUAGCCAUAUUAAAACGUUGGCUUAGCUGUAGAGGAGCUAAAGUUGGUGGGAAAAGGAAUGAGCUAAUCAAAAGGGUUAAUGACUAUAUUACGUCUGGUCUAGAUAAAAAUCUUGUCGAUCCUGAUGGUGGAAUAAAUCUCCAGAAUAAGYGAGUGAAACUUAAUCUACAAGAAGCUGAACAAACAACUCUCAUUAACUUUCCCACGGAGGGAUUCAAUGUUGGAAUAUUGUCUGGGAUUAAUGUUGGCUAUUCUCAAAUCUGGAAAUUUUUGAUUGACGAUGUUGAGUUUAAGAAACAAUUAUCUGUGGAGAAACCCAUUGUAAAGGGGUAUAAUUUUUAUAAAUCAGGCAAGGUGCUUGGUA